GAUGAACGCUGGCGGCGUGCCUAAUACAUGCAAGUCGAGCGAACAGACGAGGAGCUUGCUCCUCUGACGUUAGCGGCGGACGGGUGAGUAACACGUGGAUAACCUACCUAUAAGACUGGGAUAACUUCGGGAAACCGGAGCUAAUACCGGAUAAUAUAUUGAACCGCAUGGUUCAAUAGUGAAAGACGGUUUUGCUGUCACUUAUAGAUGGAUCCGCGCCGCAUUAGCUAGUUGGUAAGGUAACGGCUUACCAAGGCAACGAUGCGUAGCCGACCUGAGAGGGGGGAGGGCCCACCGGGGAACGAAGCCCGGGCCAGGCUCCCGCGGGGGGGAGCAGUGGGGGAUUCUCCGGAAAGGGGGGAAGCCCGGAGGGGACACCGCGGGGGGAGGGAGGAGGGUUUUGGAAUCAAAAAACUUUUUUAUGGGGGAAAAAAAAAUGUGAAAGUAACUAUGCCCGUCUGGAGGUUCCCUAAAAAGAAGGCCACGGCAACCUCCGGC
rnacentral:rRNA from 1 species